rnacentral:rRNA from 1 species
CAGUAGCCGCGGUAAUACGUAGGGCGCAAGCGUUGUCCGGAAUUAUUGGGCGUAAAGAGCUCGUAGGCGGUCUGUCGCGUCUGGUGUGAAAUCCCGAGGCUCAACCUCGGGCUUGCAUCGGGUACGGGCAGACUAGAGUGCGGUAGGGGAGACUGGAAUUCCUGGUGUAGCGGUGGAAUGCGCAGAUAUCAGGAGGAACACCGAUGGCGAAGGCAGGUCUCUGGGCCGCAACUGACGCUGAGGAGCGAAAGCAUGGGGAGCGAACAGGAUUAGAUACCCCAGUAGUCCCUGUCUCUUAUAA